rnacentral:lncRNA from 1 species
GAAGCCUAGUUGGGGCUACCCACUGAUGAAAAGGAUGAAAAGAUGAAAAGGAUGAAAAGACGAAAAGGAUGUGCAUUGUAGGGUCUUUAGCUCAUGGUCGGGUAACGGGAAGUUAAAGGUGUCAUAGGAUUGAGUCGGAUUGGUAAGAUGAGUCGGUUAAGUCUAGGGUUUGACGUGUGUGGCAAUGAGUGAGAUCAUUGUAUUGAUUGAUCACUAGGUUGUUAGAAAUGAAUGGAAGUGAAUGUGGAAAUUACAGAUGACGAUAGGAAAUGAUAAAAUGCAUUAACUGAUUGUAGUGGCUAGUCAG